GUGCAGCAGGCGCGAAAACUUUACAAUGUGCGAAAGCACGAUAAGGGAACUCUGAGUGCCUCCUAAGGAGGCUGUUCAGGUGUCUAAAAAGCACCUGGAGUAAGGGCUGGGUAAGACCGGUGCCAGCCGCCGCGGUAACACCGGCAGCCCAGGUGGUAGCCACUUUUAUUGGGUCUAAAGCGUCCGUAGCCGGUUGAGUAAGUUCCUUGGGAAAUUUGGCUGCUCAACAGUCAAGCUUCCAGGGGAUACUGCUCGACUUGGGACUGGGAGAGGUCAGAGGUACUCCAGGGGUAGGGGUGAAAUCCAUUAAUCCCUGGGGGACCACCGGUAGCGAAGGCGUCUGACCAGACCAGGUCCGACGGUGAGGGACGAAGGCU
rnacentral:rRNA from 1 species